rnacentral:lncRNA from 10 species
CAAAGGAAAAUCGGUCUCUGUGAGAGGCACAUGCUGAGAAUGAUGAGAGAACGUCCUCCCUGAACCAAGCGCCACUAGGUUAGGGUCCCCACGACCGAGCUGGUCUGAGCAAGUGGCGCCUAACAUGGGGCUCAAACCCUUGUCGAAGGGUCACCAGAGUGACGGCUGGAGAACGUGGAACUACACUGGAGAACACCCAAGUACUCUUAAGCAAUCCCUGCGGUGAGUAAGAAGGGGAGCUCAGAAGCAUCAGGG